GACGAACCGAGCGAACGUUGUUCGGAAUCACUGGGCUUAAAGGGCGCGUAGGCGGGCUGCCGCGUCCGGGGUGAAAUCCCACGGCUCAACCGUGGAACGGCCCCGGGUACGGGCGGCCUCGAGGGGGGUAGGGGCGUGCGGAACUGUGGGUGGAGCGGUGAAAUGCGUUGAUAUCCACAGGAACUCCGGUGGCGAAGGCGGCACGCUGGACCCCUUCUGACGCUGAGGCGCGAAAGCCAGGGGAGCAAACGGG
rnacentral:rRNA from 1 species